UGAAUACGAGAUGCUACGGCAUUGAAGCAGUGUAUGUCAGACUUCCAAGAAAAGCUCGCAAUGUCAUAAACAAUAAAUGCCUGUACCAUAACCGACACAGGUGGGUAGGUAGAGUAUACUAAGGGGCGCGAGAUAACUCUCUCUAAGGAACUCGGCAAGAUGACUCCGUAACUUCGGGAGAAGGAGUGCCUUAUUUUAUAAGGUUGCAAUAACAAGAUCCAAGCAACUGUUUACCAAAAACACAGGUCUCCGCUAAGUCGAAAGACGAUGUAUGGGGGCUGACGCCUGCCCAGUGCCAGAAGGUUAAAGAAGUUGGUUAGCUUCGGCGAAGCUGAUGACUGAAGCCCUGGUGAACGGCGGCCGUAACAAUAACGGUCCUAAGGUAGCGAAAUUCCUUGUCGGGUAAGUUCCGACCCGCACGAAAGGCGUAAUGAUUUGGAUAUUGUCUCGGAGAGGGGCUCGGUGAAAUAGACUUGUCUGUGAAGAUGCGGACUACCUGCACCUGGACAGAAAGACCCUAUGAAGCUUUACUGUAACUUGAGAUUGAAAUUGGACUUUAUUUGCGCAGUAUAGGUGGGAGACGUUGAGAAUAUUCUUGCGGGAAUAUUGGAGUCAUCAGUGAGAUACCACUCUUGUAAUGUUAGAUUUCUAACUUUGUAUCAUUAUCUGGUCAAAGGACAGUUUCAGGCGGGCAGUUUGACUGGGGCGGUCGCCUCCUAAACGGUAACGGAGGCGCACAAAGGUUUCCUCUGAACGUGUAGAAAUCGUAUCUAGAGUGUAAAGGCAUAAGGAAGCUUGACUGUGAGACCUACAAGUCGAGCAGGGACGAAAGUCGGUCUUAGUGAUCUGACGGUGCUGAGUGGAAAGGCCGUCACUCAACGGAUAAAAGUACUCUAAGGAUAACAGGCUGAUCUCCCCCAAGAGUUCACAUCGACGGGGAGGUUUGGCACCUCGAUGUCGGCUCAUCGCAUCCUGGGGCGGUAGUACGUCCCAAGGGUUGGGCUGUUCGCCCAUGAAAGCGGUACGCGAGCUGGGUUCAGAACGUCGUGAGACAGUUCGGUCCAUAUCCGGUGUAGGCGUUAGAAUAUUGAGAGGAGCCUUCUUUAGUACGAGAGGACCGAGAAGGACAUACCUCUGGUGUACCAGUUAUCGUGCCAACGGUAAACGCUGGGUAGCUAUGUAUGGAGUGGACAACCGCUGAAAGCAUCUAAGUGGGAAGCCCACCUCAAGAUAAG
rnacentral:rRNA from 1 species